rnacentral:rRNA from 1 species
UACCGUCAGGUCCUAAAGGUAUUAUUCCUUAGGAUUAUUCGUCCCUCUCCCACAGAGCUUUACGACCCGAAGGCCUUCAUCGCUCACGCGGCGUCGCUGCGUCAGGCUUUCGCCCAUUGCGCAAUAUUCCCCA